CCCUUAGAUGUUCUGGGCCGCACGCGCGCUACACUGUUCGACGCAGCGAGUCUUAACCUUGACCGAAAGGGUUGGGUAAUCUUCAGCAAAGUCGAACGUGAUGGGGAUCGAUCAUUGCAAUUAUUGAUCGUGAACGAGGAAUUCCUAGUAAGUGCAAGUCAUCAGCUUGCGCUGAUUACGUCCCUGCCCUUUGUACACACCGCCCGUCGCUACUACCGAUUGAAUGGUUUAGUGAGAUCUCUGGAUUGACGCUGGCUAGGGGGCGACCCUUGGCCAGACUGCUCGAGAAACUGCUCAAACUUGAUCAUUUAGAGGAAGUAAAAGUCGUAACA
rnacentral:rRNA from 1 species